AUUGAACGCUGGCGGCAUGCCUUACACAUGCAAGUCGAACGGUAACAGGUUAAGCUGACGAGUGGCGAACGGGUGAGUAAUGUAUCGGAACGUGCCCAGUCGUGGGGGAUAACUGCUCGAAAGAGCAGCUAAUACCGCAUACGACCUGAGGGUGAAAGCGGGGGAUCGCAAGACCUCGCGCGAUUGGAGCGGCCGAUAUCAGAUUAGGUAGUUGGUGAGGUAAAGGCUCACCAAGCCGACGAUCUGUAGCUGGUCUGAGAGGACGACCAGCCACACUGGGACUGAGACACGGCCCAGACUCCUACGGGAGGCAGCAGUGGGGAAUUUUGGACAAUGGGCGCAAGCCUGAUCCAGCCAUUCCGCGUGCGGGAAGAAGGCCUUCGGGUUGUAAACCGCUUUUGUCAGGGAAGAAAAGGUUCUGGCUAAUACCUGGGACUCAUGACGGUACCUGAAGAAUAAGCACCGGCUAACUACGUG
rnacentral:rRNA from 1 species